rnacentral:rRNA from 1 species
GACGAACGCUGGCGGCGUGCUUAACACAUGCAAGUCGAACGGUGAAAGCGGAGCUUGCUCCGCUGGAUCAGUGGCGAACGGGUGAGUAACACGUGGGCAACCUGCCCCUGACUUCGGGAUAACUCCUCGAAAGAGGUGCUAAUACCGGAUACGAAUCCUGCAGCCAUCUGCGGGAUUGGAAAGUUUUUCGGUCCGGGAUGGGCCCGCGGCCUAUCAGCUUGUUGGUGAGGUAGUGGCUCACCAAGGCGACGACGGGCAGCCGGCCGUGAGAGGGCGACCGGCCACACUGGGACUGAGACACGGCCCAGACUCCUACGGGAGGCAGCAGUGGGGAAUAUUGCACAAUGGGCGCAAGCCUGAUGCAGCAACGCCGCGUGAGGGAUGACGGCCUUCGGGUUGUAAACCUCUUUUAGUAGGGAAGAAGCGAAAGUGACGGUACCUGCAGAAAAAGCACCGGCUAACUACGUGCCAGCAGCCGCGGUAA